rnacentral:lncRNA from 1 species
ACAAAACUUCUACAUUAAUCAACUAACCAACCAGAAAAAAAGACUUCCUUGAUAGCAGAAAACCAAGACAUCUUAAAAAUAUCAAGGAAAGCAGCCAAGUGCUAAAACAUCACAAAUUAAGUGAUUUCUGCUAGAUCAUUAGAAGCAGCAGAUCUCAAGUGGAUCACUAGAUCCAAGUAAUGGAAACAAGUUAAGCGGAUGGUUGAAUAUGGAUAGAUGAACGUGUUUGCUGAUGAUCAUCUAACCAUAAUUCCUACAGGCAGCUUCAAACACGAAAACCCGAAAAAAUGUUUAGAUGACCAUCAACAAACAAAUCCAUAUAUGCAAAAUAUUAUGCCUCCUGUAAAGAAAAGAGUCUGGGCAAAAAAGCCUUCAGAAGCAUAGUCUGCAAUGUGAGUAUAUAUUUGAGGAUAUUUUUACAAGAUAAGCAUAUUCUCAAGAAUAAACCUUUAAUCUAGCUGGCUAUUGGUGACAAAUGAAAGAGUGGUAACUACAACUUCUGACAAAUUGCCUCAUAUACAUACUUAUCCAGGGAAAGUGACAGGUAGGAAAGGACUGUUGUGAACUAUUAUUUGAUUCAGAAUUCAAAAUUCACUACCUGGUCUGAUUAAGCACAGUAAUUAUAAACAAGAACCUACUAAUAAUCUAAUAUAAUCCAUACAGAUUAGUAAAUUACAAGGAACAUGUGCAGAUUUACCUGAGAGUUUUAGCACAAGCUCUUAGUGAUUACGAAGAAAUCUAUAAUUUCGGUGAUUUACCCUUGCUUGAGGUUGCAACCUUAUCGCCGCUAUCUCCAGAGUUUACAGGAAAAACAGGUCAUCCUGAAAAGAAUUACUUAAGGAUUCACACAGAUAUAUGGGGGAAGGAGAAUAUUGGCACAUACGCAUAUCUCUAAUAGAAGCACUCAC